CCUACGGGUGGCAGCAGUGGGGAAUAUUGGACAAUGGGGGAAACCCUGAUCCAGCGACGCCGCGUGAGUGAAGAAGUAUUUCGGUACGUAAAGCUCUAUCAGCAGGAAAGAAAAUGACGGUACCUGACUAAGAAGCCCCGGCUAACUACGUGCCAGCAGCCGCGGUAAUACGUAGGGGGCAAGCGUUAUCCGGAUUUACUGGGUGUAAAGGGAGCGUAGACGGCAGCGCAAGUCUGGAGUGAAAUGCCGGGGCUCAACCCCGGAACUGCUCUGGAGACUGUGAAGCUGGAGUGCAGGAGAGGUAAGCGGAAUUCCUGGUGUAGCGGUGAAAUGCGUAGAUAUCAGGAGGAACACCGGCGGCGAAGGCGGCUUACUGGACUGUAACUGACGUUGAGGCUCGAAGGCGUGGGGAGCAAACAGGAUUAGAUACCCGGGUAGUC
rnacentral:rRNA from 1 species